CAGUGAAAUACCAAUUCUCAUACAACCACCAAAGUUAAGCAACAUUGAGCCUAGUCAGUACCUAGAUAGGUGACCACUUGGGAAUAACAGGUGCUGUAAG